AUCCCAGGAAAUAGAAGGUUGGUGUUUUUGUUUUUUAAACUUUAGUAAAUCGAUAUUUAGCUAAUCCUAACCUAACUUUUAGAAACAAGUUCAGAUGGUCAAAGUGAGCCCUCGGAAUUUGAAGACAAUGGAAGCUCUGAUGAUUACCAGAUUCAAUUUCACAGUCAGAACCCGAGAGUGAUUCUAGUAAUACUAUUGAUAACAAUGUUUUUCAAAAAUCUUUGUUAGAAGGAAGCGUAAAAAAAAUCAAGAAAGCGUAUGAGAAACGAGAGUGAAUGGAAAAAAAAACAUACGUAAAUAUUUUCGAGCUAGUGGCUGUUGCUGUAAAUUAGAAUGGUGUAAGACUGUAAGUAAAUCAUUCCAGAAAUUCAAACGGAAAUCUAUAAUAAAUUUUAUGAACUAGCUAAUUUCGACUUACAGACCGGAUACAUAUUUUCACAAGUUAAAGUUAAGCCAGUGGCUCGUCAUUAUGCCACAAAUAAUGCUACUCCUACUAAUAAAUCAAAACAUAUGACGAGAGAAUAUUAUUUACCUAACAGUCAAGGAAGUGACGUUAAAAUAUGUAAAAACUUGUUUAAACUAAUUCUAAUGGUGUCAGACGGUAAACUUGGUAGAACCCUUAAGAAAAAAAAUAAAUUAAUGCUACCACAGGAUUAACGAGGCCGACACCCUCCUACAAACAAAACACCCAUAGAAAAAAUUGAUGAUGUUUGUGACUUCAUUAGAACCUUUCUAACCUAUAUUUCCCAUUACUCAAGGCAUAAGACGGACAGGAAGUACCUUUGUCCCGACAUGAAUAUUAGAAUUCUUUAUACUGAGUAUAAGAAAAAAGCAGCUAAUCCUGUGUCAGAAUCUGUUCCGUGAUGUAUUUAACAGUAAGUUUGAUCUUCAUUUUCACCCACCUAUUGUAGACUCCUGCAAGAAAUGUGACGCUUUAAAAAAUAAAUUAAAAUAUGAAGUGAAUAAAGAAAAGAAAAAGGAACUAAAUUUUCAACUAGAACUUCACCAACGAAAAGCCCAACAACUACGCGAUGCCAUGAGUCUAGAUGCCCAAAUGUCACAGGAGGAAGUUACAGUUAUAGCCUUCGAUCUGAUGAAAACAUUGCCUACGCCCGUCAUCUCUACAGGUAUAACCUAUUAUAAAAGGCAAUUAUGGACAUACUGUCUUGGAGUACACAAUUUGCAGAGCAAUGAAGCCACGAUGUUUGUAUGGGAUGAAUCAUUAGCAUCUCGAGGAUCACAAGAAAUUGGAUCAUGUCUUAUGUAUUAUUUUAAACAUAAUGUAACGACCAAAAAAAUUUUAUUAUAUUCUGACGGCUGUGGAGGUCAGAACAGAAACAUUAAAAUGGCUUUAAUUUGCCAUUAUGUUGUUCAAUCUCAGGAAUUUACGGUAGAAGAAAUUCAGCAUAACUUUUUGGUUAGCGGUCAUUCCUUUUUAGUUUGCGACAGAGACUUUGGUGUAAU